rnacentral:rRNA from 1 species
AUUGAACGCUGGCGGCAUGCCUUACACAUGCAAGUCGAACGGCCGCACGGGUGCCUGCCUCUGGUGGCGUGUGGCGCACGGGUGUGUAUUACAUCGGAAUAUGCCCUGUAGUGGGGGAUAGCAACGUGAAAGCCGGGUUAAUACUGCAUAAGAUCUACGGAAGCAAGAGGGGGCCAUACUGGACUCGCGCUUUAGGGUUGGUCGGUGGCGGAUUAGCUAGUUGGUGGGGUAAAGGCAUACCAAGGCAACGAUAAGUAGCUGGUCUGAGAGGAUGACCAGCCACACUGGAACUGAGACACGGCCCAGACUCCUACGGGAGGCAGCAGUAGGGAAUCUUGGGCAAUGGGCGAAAGCCUGAUGCAGCAAUGCCGCGUGUGUGAUGAAGGCCUUCGGAUUGUAAAACUCUGUUGUCAGGGAAGAAAACCUUUGUCCGAAACCAGGCGGGGGAUGACGGUACCUGAAGAGAAAGCAACGGCUAACUACGUG